rnacentral:rRNA from 1 species
AUUCCAGCUCUCCUAGUGUAUGCAAAAGUUGCUGCAGUUAAAACGCUCCUACUCGGUGAUUUAGGGCGCUUGUAGGGACCGGUCUUCAGACUUGUGCCCCCGUGAGCCCCUUUCUGGGCAGGGUCCUCGGACCCCGCCCCGGUUACCAUGAUUAAAUUGUAGUGCUCAGAGCAAGCUUUACGCAGCUGAACAACUUAGCAUGGGAUAACAAACCACGGCUUCGUGUGAUUUGUUGGUGAUUACAAAGGAGUAAUGAGUAAUAGGGGCGGUUGGGGGCCUUAGUACGAUUUCGUUAGAGGUGAAAUUCCAAGAUCGAAGUCAGACUAACUGAAGCGAAAGCGUUGGCCAAGGACGCUCUCAUUG